UUAAGCGACUAAGCGUACACGGUGGAUGCCCUGGCAGUCAGAGGCGAUGAAGGACGUGCUAAUCUGCGAUAAGCGUCGGUAAGGUGAUAUGAACCGUUAUAACCGGCGAUUUCCGAAUGGGGAAACCCAGUGUGAUUCGACACACUAUCAUUAACUGAAUCCAUAGGUUAAUGAGGCGAACCGGGGGAACUGAAACAUCUAAGUACCCCGAGGAAAAGAAAUCAACCGAGAUUCCCCCAGUAGCGGCGAGCGAACGGGGAGCAGCCCAGAGCCUGAAUCAGUGUGUGUGUUAGUGGAAGCGUCUGGAAAGGCGCGCGAUACAGGGUGACAGCCCCGUACACAAAAAUGCACAUGCUGUGAGCUCGAUGAGUAGGGCGGGACACGUGGUAUCCUGUCUGAAUAUGGGGGGACCAUCCUCCAAGGCUAAAUACUCCUGACUGACCGAUAGUGAACCAGUACCGUGAGGGAAAGGCGAAAAGAACCCCGGCGAGGGGAGUGAAAAAGAACCUGAAACCGUGUACGUACAAGCAGUGGGAGCACGCUUAGGCGUGUGACUGCGUACCUUUUGUAUAAUGGGUCAGCGACUUAUAUUCUGUAGCAAGGUUAACCGAAUAGGGGAGCCGAAGGGAAACCGAGUCUUAACUGGGCGUUAAGUUGCAGGGUAUAGACCCGAAACCCGGUGAUCUAGCCAUGGGCAGGUUGAAGGUUGGGUAACACUAACUGGAGGACCGAACCGACUAAUGUUGAAAAAUUAGCGGAUGACUUGUGGCUGGGGGUGAAAGGCCAAUCAAACCGGGAGAUAGCUGGUUCUCCCCGAAAGCUAUUUAGGUAGCGCCUCGUGAAUUCAUCUCCGGGGGUAGAGCACUGUUUCGGCAAGGGGGUCAUCCCGACUUACCAACCCGAUGCAAACUGCGAAUACCGGAGAAUGUUAUCACGGGAGACACACGGCGGGUGCUAACGUCCGUCGUGAAGAGGGAAACAACCCAGACCGCCAGCUAAGGUCCCAAAGUCAUGGUUAAGUGGGAAACGAUGUGGGAAGGCCCAGACAGCCAGGAUGUUGGCUUAGAAGCAGCCAUCAUUUAAAGAAAGCGUAAUAGCUCACUGGUCGAGUCGGCCUGCGCGGAAGAUGUAACGGGGCUAAACCAUGCACCGAAGCUGCGGCAGCGACGCUUAUGCGUUGUUGGGUAGGGGAGCGUUCUGUAAGCCUGUGAAGGUGUACUGUGAGGUAUGCUGGAGGUAUCAGAAGUGCGAAUGCUGACAUAAGUAACGAUAAAGCGGGUGAAAAGCCCGCUCGCCGGAAGACCAAGGGUUCCUGUCCAACGUUAAUCGGGGCAGGGUGAGUCGACCCCUAAGGCGAGGCCGAAAGGCGUAGUCGAUGGGAAACAGGUUAAUAUUCCUGUACUUGGUGUUACUGCGAAGGGGGGACGGAGAAGGCUAUGUUGGCCGGGCGACGGUUGUCCCGGUUUAAGCGUGUAGGCUGGUUUUCCAGGCAAAUCCGGAAAAUCAAGGCUGAGGCGUGAUGACGAGGCACUACGGUGCUGAAGCAACAAAUGCCCUGCUUCCAGGAAAAGCCUCUAAGCAUCAGGUAACAUCAAAUCGUACCCCAAACCGACACAGGUGGUCAGGUAGAGAAUACCAAGGCGCUUGAGAGAACUCGGGUGAAGGAACUAGGCAAAAUGGUGCCGUAACUUCGGGAGAAGGCACGCUGAUAUGUAGGUGAAGCGACUUGCUCGUGGAGCUGAAAUCAGUCGAAGAUACCAGCUGGCUGCAACUGUUUAUUAAAAACACAGCACUGUGCAAACACGAAAGUGGACGUAUACGGUGUGACGCCUGCCCGGUGCCGGAAGGUUAAUUGAUGGGGUCAGCGCAAGCGAAGCUCUUGAUCGAAGCCCCGGUAAACGGCGGCCGUAACUAUAACGGUCCUAAGGUAGCGAAAUUCCUUGUCGGGUAAGUUCCGACCUGCACGAAUGGCGUAAUGAUGGCCAGGCUGUCUCCACCCGAGACUCAGUGAAAUUGAACUCGCUGUGAAGAUGCAGUGUACCCGCGGCAAGACGGAAAGACCCCGUGAACCUUUACUAUAGCUUGACACUGAACAUUGAGCCUUGAUGUGUAGGAUAGGUGGGAGGCUUUGAAGUGUGGACGCCAGUCUGCAUGGAGCCGACCUUGAAAUACCACCCUUUAAUGUUUGAUGUUCUAACGUGGACCCGUAAUCCGGGUUGCGGACAGUGUCUGGUGGGUAGUUUGACUGGGGCGGUCUCCUCCUAAAGAGUAACGGAGGAGCACGAAGGUUGGCUAAUCCUGGUCGGACAUCAGGAGGUUAGUGCAAUGGCAUAAGCCAGCUUGACUGCGAGCGUGACGGCGCGAGCAGGUGCGAAAGCAGGUCAUAGUGAUCCGGUGGUUCUGAAUGGAAGGGCCAUCGCUCAACGGAUAAAAGGUACUCCGGGGAUAACAGGCUGAUACCGCCCAAGAGUUCAUAUCGACGGCGGUGUUUGGCACCUCGAUGUCGGCUCAUCACAUCCUGGGGCUGAAGUAGGUCCCAAGGGUAUGGCUGUUCGCCAUUUAAAGUGGUACGCGAGCUGGGUUUAGAACGUCGUGAGACAGUUCGGUCCCUAUCUGCCGUGGGCGCUGGAGAACUGAGGGGGGCUGCUCCUAGUACGAGAGGACCGGAGUGGACGCAUCACUGGUGUUCGGGUUGUCAUGCCAAUGGCACUGCCCGGUAGCUAAAUGCGGAAGAGAUAAGUGCUGAAAGCAUCUAAGCACGAAACUUGCCCCGAGAUGAGUUCUCCCUGACUCCUUGAGAGUCCUGAAGGAACGUUGAAGACGACGACGUUGAUAGGCCGGGUGUGUAAGCGCAGCGAUGCGUUGAGCUAACCGGUACUAAUGAACCGUGAGGCUUAACCUU
rnacentral:rRNA from 9 species